GACGAACGCUGGCGGCGUGCCUAAUACAUGCAAGUAGAACGCUGAAGGAGGAGCUUGCUUCUCUGGAUGAGUUGCGAACGGGUGAGUAACGCGUAGGUAACCUGCCUGGUAGCGGGGGAUAACUAUUGGAAACGAUAGCUAAUACCGCAUAAUAGUAGAUGUUGCAUGACAUUUGCCUAAAAGGUGCAAUUGCAUCACUACCAGAUGGACCUGCGUUGUAUUAGCUAGUUGGUGGGGUAACGGCUCACCAAGGCGACGAUACAUAGCCGACCUGAGAGGGUGAUCGGCCACACUGGGACUGAGACACGGCCCAGACUCCUACGGGAGGCAGCAGUAGGGAAUCUUCGGCAAUGGACGGAAGUCUGACCGAGCAACGCCGCGUGAGUGAAGAAGGUUUUCGGAUCGUAAAGCUCUGUUGUAAGAGAAGAACGAGUGUGAGAGUGGAAAGUUCACACUGUGACGGUAUCUGACCAGAAAGGGACGGCUAACUACGUG
rnacentral:rRNA from 1 species